rnacentral:rRNA from 1 species
AAAUUGAAGAGUUUGAUCAUGGCUCAGAUUGAACGCUGGCGGCAGGCCUAACACAUGCAAGUCGAGCGGUAGCACAGAGAGCUUGCUCUCGGGUGACGAGCGGCGGACGGGUGAGUAAUGUCUGGGAAACUGCCUGAUGGAGGGGGAUAACUACUGGAAACGGUAGCUAAUACCGCAUAACGUCGCAAGACCAAAGUGGGGGACCUUCGGGCCUCAUGCCAUCAGAUGUGCCCAGAUGGGAUUAGCUAGUAGGUGGGGUAACGGCUCACCUAGGCGACGAUCCCUAGCUGGUCUGAGAGGAUGACCAGCCACACUGGAACUGAGACACGGUCCAGACUCCUACGGGAGGCAGCAGUGGGGAAUAUUGCACAAUGGGCGCAAGCCUGAUGCAGCCAUGCCGCGUGUGUGAAGAAGGCCUUCGGGUUGUAAAGCACUUUCAGCGGGGAGGAAGGCGUUAAGGUUAAUAACCUUGGCGAUUGACGUUACCCGCAGAAGAAGCACCGGCUAACUCCGUGCCAGCAGCCGCGGUAAUACGGAGGGUGCAAGCGUUAAUCGGAAUUACUGGGCGUAAAGCGCACGCAGGCGGUCUGUCAAGUCGGAUGUGAAAUCCCCGGGCUUCAACCUGGGAACUGCAUUCGAAACUGGCAGGCUAGAGUCUUGUAGAGGGGGGUAGAAUUCCAGGUGUAGCGGUGAAAUGCGUAGAGAUCUGGAGGAAUACCGGUGGCGAAGGCGGCCCCCUGGACAAAGACUGACGCUCAGGUGCGAAAGCGUGGGGAGCAAACAGGAUUAGAUACCCUGGUAGUCCACGCCGUAAACGAUGUCGAUUUGGAGGUUGUGCCCUUGAGGCGUGGCUUCCGGAGCUAACGCGUUAAAUCGACCGCCUGGGGAGUACGGCCGCAAGGUUAAAACUCAAAUGAAUUGACGGGGGCCCGCACAAGCGGUGGAGCAUGUGGUUUAAUUCGAUGCAACGCGAAGAACCUUACCUGGUCUUGACAUCCACAGAACUUUCCAGAGAUGGAUUGGUGCCUUCGGGAACUGUGAGACAGGUGCUGCAUGGCUGUCGUCAGCUCGUGUUGUGAAAUGUUGGGUUAAGUCCCGCAACGAGCGCAACCCUUAUCCUUUGUUGCCAGCGGUCCGGCCGGGAACUCAAAGGAGACUGCCAGUGAUAAACUGGAGGAAGGUGGGGAUGACGUCAAGUCAUCAUGGCCCUUACGACCAGGGCUACACACGUGCUACAAUGGCAUAUACAAAGAGAAGCGACCUCGCGAGAGCAAGCGGACCUCAUAAAGUAUGUCGUAGUCCGGAUUGGAGUCUGCAACUCGACUCCAUGAAGUCGGAAUCGCUAGUAAUCGUAGAUCAGAAUGCUACGGUGAAUACGUUCCCGGGCCUUGUACACACCGCCCGUCACACCAUGGGAGUGGGUUGCAAAAGAAGUAGGUAGCUUAACCUUCGGGAGGGCGCUUACCACUUUGUGAUUCAUGACUGGGGUGAAGUCGUAACAAGGUAACCGUAGGGGAACCUGCGGUUGGAUCACCUCCUUACCUUAAAGAA